UACGGGGGGGGCAAGCGUUGUUCGGAAUUACUGGGCGUAAAGGGUGCGUAGGCGGCUCUCUAAGUCGGAUGUGAAAACUCUGGGCUCAACCCAGAGCCUGCAUCCGGAACUGGAGGGCUAGGGUUCUGGAGGGGAAAGCGGAAUUCCUGGUGUAGCGGUGAAAUGCGUAGAUAUCAGGAGGAACACCGGUGGCGAAGGCGGCUUUCUGGACAGAUACCGACGCUGAGGCACGAAAGCUAGGGGAGCAAACAGG
rnacentral:rRNA from 1 species